GUAGGUGGCAAGCGUUGUCCGGAAUUAUGGGCGUAAAGCGCGCGCAGGUGGGUUCUUUAAGUCUGAUGUGAAAGCCCCCGGGCUCAACCCGGGGAGGGUCAUUGGAAACUGGGGAACUUGAGUGCAGGAGAGGAAAGUGGAAUUCCACGUGUAGCGGUGAAAUGCGUAGAUAUGUGGAGGAACACCAGUGGCGAAGGCGACUUUCUGGCCUGUAACUGACACUGAGGCGCGAAAGCGUGGGGAGCAAACAGGAUUAGAUACCCUGGUAGUCCACGCCGUAAACGAUGAGUGCUAAGUGUUAGGGGGUUUCCGCCCCUUAGUGCUGCAGCUAACGCAUUAAGCACUCCGCCUGGGGAGUACGGCCGCAAAGGCUG
rnacentral:rRNA from 1 species